GGGCGGGUGGUGGAAUUGGUAGACACGCUAGGUUCAGGGUCUAGUGCUUUUAUUAGCAUGUGGGUUCAAAUCCCACCUCGCCCACCA
rnacentral:tRNA from 2 species